rnacentral:lncRNA from 1 species
CAAAAACGGGUGGGCUAUAGCCUUGGGGGGUGGGGCUGGCCAACUUCGUCCGCCGGACUCGGAAUGCCGCGAGACUUUGCGAGGGUCCUCCGUGUGCCAAAAAUAGGCCGCGGGCAAAGCCACGCCCAAAAAUAACCGCCCGAAGGCCGGGGCGCCAAGUUAGUCCAGCGGAAAAAGGCCACAAAAACGGGCGGGCUAUAGCCUUGGGGGGUGGGGCUGGCCAACUUCGUCCGCCGGACUCGGAAUGCCGCGAGACUUUGUGAGGGGCCUCCGUGUACCAAAAAUAGGCCACGGACAAAGCCACGCUCAAAAAUAACCGCCCGAAGGCUGGGGCGCCAAGUUAGUCCAGCGGAAAAAGGCCACAAAAACGGGUGGGCUAUAGCCUUCGGGGGUGGGGCUGGCCAACGUCGUCCGCCGGACUCGGAAUGCCGUGAGACUUUGCGAGGGCCUCCGUGUGCCAAAAAUAGGUGGCGGGCAAAGCCGCGCCCAAAAAUAACCGCCCGAAGGCCAGGGCGCCAAGUUCGUCCAGCGGAAAAAGGCCACAAAAACGGGUGGGCUAUAGCCUUGGGGGGUGGGGCCGGCCAACUUCGUCCGCCGGACUCGGAAUGCCGCGAGACUUUGCGAGGGGCCUCCGUGUGCCAAAAAUAGGCCGCGGGCAAAGCCACGCCAAAAAAUAACCCCCCGAAGGCCGGGGCGCCAAGUUCGUCCAGCGGAAAAAGGCCACAAAAGCGGGUGGGCUAUAGCCUUGGGGGGUGGGGCUGGACAACUUCGUCCGCCGGACUCGGAAUGCCACGAGACUUUGCGAGGGGCUUCCGUGUGCCAAAAAUAAGCCGCGGUCAAAGCCGCGCCCAAAAAUAACCGCCCGAUGGCCGGGGCGCCAAGUUCGUCCAGCGGAAAAAGGCCACAAAAACAGGUGGGCUAUAGCCUUGGGGGGUGGGGCUGGCCUACUUCGUCCGCCGGACUCGGAAUGCCGCGAUACUUUGCGAGGGGCCUCCGUGUACCAAAAAUAGGCCGUGGGCAAAGCCGCGUCCAAAAAUAACAGCCCGAAGGCCGGGGCGCCAAGUUCGUCCAGCGGAAAAAGGUCACAAAAACGGGUGGGCUAUAGCCUUGGGGGGUGGGGCUGGCCAACUUCGUCCGCCGGACUCGGAAUGCCGCGAGACUUUGCGAGGGGCCUCCGUGUGCCAAAAAUAGGCCGCGGGCAAAGCCACGCCCAAAAAUAACCGCCCGAAGGCCGGGGCGCCAAGUUAGUCCAGCGGAAAAAGGCCACAAAAACGGGAGGGCUAUAACCUUGGGGGGUGGGGCUGGCCAACUUCGUCCGCCGGACUCGGAAUGCCGCGAGACUUUUUGAGGGGCCUCCGUGUACCAAAAAUAGGCCGCGGACAAAGCCACGCUCAAAAAUAACCGCCCGAAGGCUGGGGCGCCAAGUUAGUCCAGCGGAAAAAGGCCACAAAAACGGGUGGGCUACAGCCUUGGGGGGUUGGGCUGGCCACUUCGUCCGCCGGACUUGGAUUGCCGCGAGACUUUGCGAGGGGCCUCCGUGUGCCAAAAAUAGGCCGCGGGCACAGCCAUGCCCAAAACUAACCGGCCGAAGGCCGGGGCGCCAAUUUCGUCCAGCGGAAAAAGGCCACAAAAACAGGUGGGUUAUAGCCUUGGGGGGUGGGGCUGGCCAACUUCGUCCGCCGGACUCGGAAUGGCGCGAGACUUUACGAGGCGCCUCCGUGUGCCAAAAAUAGGCCGCGGGCACAGCCGCGCCCAAAAAUAACCGCCCGAGGGCCGGGGCGCCAAGUUCGUCCAACGGAAAAAGGCCACAAAAACAGGUGGGCUAUAGCCUUGGGGGGUGGGGCUGGCCAACAUCGUCCGCCGGACUCGGAAUGCCGCGAUAAUUUGCGAGGGGCCUCCGUGUACCAAAAAUAGGCUACGGGCAAAGCCGCGUCCAAAAAUAACCGCCCGAAGGCCGGGGCGCCAAGUUCGUCCAGCGGAAAAAGGCCACAAAAACGGGUGGGCUAUAGCCUUGGGGGGUGGGGCUGGCCAACUUCGUCCGCCGGACUCGGAAUGCCGCGAGACUUUGCGAGGGGCCUCCGUGUGCCAAAAAUAGUCAGCGGGCAAAGCCGGGUCAAGAAAUAACCCCCCGCAGGCCGGGGCGCCAAGUUCGUCCUGCGGAAAAGGCCACAAAAACGGGUGGGCUAUAGCCUUGGGGGGUGGGGCUCGCCAACUUCGUCCGCCGGACUCGGAAUACAGUGAGACUUUGCGCGGGGCCUCCGUGUGCCAAAAAUAGGGCGCCGGCAAAGCCGCGUCAAGAAAUAACCGCCCGAAGGCCGGGGCGCCUAGUUCUUCCAGCGGAAAAAGGCCACAAAAACGGGUGGGCUAUAGCCUUCUGGGGUGGGGCUGGCCAACUUCGUCCGCCGGACUCGGAAUGCCGCGAGACUUUGCGAGGGGCCUCCGUGUGCCAAAAAUAGGCCGCGGGCAAAGCCACGCCCAAAAAUAACCGCCCGAAGGCCGGGGCGCCAAGUUAGUCCAGCGGAAAAAGGCCACAAAAACGGGCGGGCUAUAGCCUUGGGGGGUGGGGCUGGCCAACUUCGUCCGCCGGACUCGGAAUGCCGCGAGACUUUGCGAGGGGCCUCCGUGUGCCAAAAAUAGGCCGCGGGCAAAGCCACGCCCAAAAAUAACCGCCCGAAGGCCGGGGCGCCAAGUUAGUCCAGCGGAAAAAGGCCACAAAAACGGGUGGGCUAUAGCCUUGGGGGGUGGGGCUGGCCAACUUCGUCCGCCGGACUCCGAAUGCCGCGAGACUUUGCGAGGGGCCUCCGUGUGCCAAAAAUAGGCAACGGGCAAAGCCGGGUCAAGAAAUAACCCCCCGCAGGCCGGGGCGCCAAGUUCGUCCUGCGGAGAAAUGCCACAAAAACGGGUGGGCUAUAGCCUUGGGGGGUGGGGCUCGCCAACUUCGUCCGCCGGACUCGGAAUACAGUGAGACUUUGCGCGGGGCCUCCGUGUGCCAAAAAUAGGGCGCGGGCAAAGCCGCGUCAAGAAAUAACCGCCCGAAGGCCGGGGCGCCUAGUUCUUCCAGCGGAAAAAGGCCACAAAAACGGGUGGGCUAUAGCCUUCUGGGGUGGGGCUGGCCAACUUCGUCCGCCGGACUCGGAAUGCCGCGAGAAUUUGCGAGGGGCCUCCGUGUGCCAAAAAUAGGCGGCGGGCAAAGCCGCGCCCAAAAAUAACCGCCCGAAGGCCAGGGCGCCAAGUUCGUCCAGCGGAAAAAGGCCACAAAAACGGGUGGGCUAUAGCCUUGGGGGGUGGGGCCGGCCAACUUCGUCCGCCGGACUCGGAAUGCCGCGAGACUUUGCGAGGGGCCUCCGUGUGCCAAAAAUAGGCCGCGGGCAAAGCCACGCCAAAAAAUAACCCCCCGAAGGCCGGGGCGCCAAGUUCGUCCAGCGGAAAAAGGCCACAAAAGCGGGUGGGCUAUAGCCUUGGGGGGUGGGGCUGGACAACUUCGUCCGCCGGACUCGGAAUGCCACGAGACUUUGCGAGGGGCUUCCGN